GAAGAUGUUAGGAUGAUCUCCCAGCCUGGAUAAAUGGAAGCCUCUGCUGGACCGAGGAACCUUCCAUGAGUGGAGAGAGACACAAUUGGGAACAACUCUCUGCCACAAUUAUAGGAUUGUGCUGCACUUGUGAAAUCCCAGGAGAGACAUAUCUAUUGCUGAGCAUAACAGAAUGCCAACACCACUUUAGGCUUUUAAGCAUACUUGGGAUGACCCUGCACUUGAUGACGCAAACUUGCUUCCAUUCUACCUCAGUCACUCUGCUUGACACUUUGCAGCCUCAUAACCAGCUCCUGAUAGAACCAGGUCCUGCAAAGACUGUGCUUGAUCAGCUCUCAGAUGUUUACGCAUGACUUAGCCAUCCUGGCCUUAUAGCGGAGAUGCGGAAUUGGUGACCUUCCAUAUGUUGUUGGACUACAGUUCCCAUCAGCCUAAGUCAAAGGCCAGUUCAGGGAUGAUUGCAGUUGUAGACCAGUGGUAUCUGACAGGCCACAAGAUCCACACCCCUGCCUUGUAGCUGCACAAUUCCAUGGCUGCCAAGUGAUUUGAACCACCUCUCCUUAUAAAAUCC